GGGUUUUUCCAGAGAGUCACUUUGCAUCGACACAUGCUUCAGCGCUCUGAGUGUUUAUAGCGUUCAGACUCAAACACUUUAUAACACACCGCUGUUUACCACGGUACAAAAUGAAUCUCUUCAGCAGCUUCAUCUGGAUUCUGACAGCUUUUAUUCCAGCAUCCAGAGGAAUCACUGUGACUCAGCCUGAAGUUCUGCCUGUUUCUGAAGGACAAGACGCCACUAUAACGUGUAAAACUGAACCUGGGAUAUCAGGCUGGGGUUUAGCUUGGUAUCAGCAGAAACCUGGAGAAGCUCCUAAACUCAUCAUUACUGGAGUAAAUGAUCUCUAUGAUAACAGUUUCAGUCGAUUCACUGGGAAUGGAGCACAAUAUGGGACUGAUUUCUCUCUGACCAUCAGUGGAGUCCAGACUGAAGAUGCUGGACAUUAUUACUGUCAGAGUUAUCACUAUAUCAACAGUAAAGAUGUGUUCACUUUUGGUGGAGGAACUAAACUCACGAUCACUGGUCCCGCAGUGAAGCCCUCCGUGUCUCUGCUGCCUCCCUCUUCUCUGCAGAUCUCUGGAGACUCAGCAGCACUGCUCUGCCUGCUCAGCUCUUACUCUCCACAGGGGGCGCAGGUGAGCUGGACGCUGGACGGGUCAGAGGUCAGCGACGGGGUUCAGACCAGCGCAGAGAGCGAGCGGGACGGACUCUACAGCCGCAGCAGCGUCCUGAGCCUCAGCAAAGCACGCUGGGAAAACGCCAACAGCUUGGUCUGCAGAGUAACACACGAAGGAGGAGAUCAAGAGAGAGAGUUCCUCAAGAGCUCCGAGUGCUGAUGUUUCUCCAGUGAAGAGCAGCAGGAUUCACAGCAGAUUUACAGCUCAAUACUCAAGCGCUCUUUCCAUCUGCUGCCGUUGCUGUUCGUUCAAUAAAGCUUCUGAACGCCUUA